AUUGAACGCUGGCGGCAGGCCUAACACAUGCAAGUCGAACGGUAACAGGGAUCCGCUUGCUGAUUCGCUGACGAGUGGCGGACGGGUGAGUAAUGUCUGGGAAACUGCCUGAUGGAGGGGGAUAACUACUGGAAACGGUAGCUAAUACCGCAUAACGUCGCAAGACCAAAGAGGGGGACCUUCGGGCCUCUUGCCCUCGGAUGUGCCCAGAUGGGAUUAGCUAGUAGGUGGGGUAACGGCUCACCUAGGCGACGAUCCCUAGCUGGUCUGAGAGCAUGACCAGCCACACUGGAACUGAGACACGGUCCAGACUCCUACGGGAGGCAGCAGUGGGGAAUAUUGGACAAUGGGCGCAAGCCUGAUGCAGCCAUGCCGCGUGUAUGAAGAAGGCCUUCGGGUUGUAAAGUACUUUCAGCGGGGAGGAAGGGAGUAAAGUUAAUACCUUAGCUCAUUGACGUUACCCGCAGAAGAAGCACCGGCUAACUCCGUG
rnacentral:rRNA from 1 species